rnacentral:rRNA from 1 species
AUUGAACGCUGGCGGCAUGCCUAACACAUGCAAGUCGAACGGUAACAGGAAGCAGCUUGCUGCUUUGCUGACGAGUGGCGGACGGGUGAGUAAUGUCUGGGAAACUGCCCGAUGGAGGGGGAUAACUACUGGAAACGGUAGCUAAUACCGCAUAACGUCGCAAGACCAAAGAUGGUGACCUUAGGGCCUCUUGCCAUCGGAUGUGCCCAGAUGGGAUUAGCUAUUAGGUGGUGUAACGGCUCACCUAGGCCACGAUCCCUAGCUGGUCUGAGAGAGUGACCAGCCACACUGGAACUGAGACACGGUCCAGACUCCUACGAGAGGCAGCAGUGGGGAAUAUUGCACAAUGGGCGCAAGCCUGACGCAGCCAUGCCGCGUGUAUGAAGAAGGCCUUCGGGUUGUAAAGUACUUUCAGCGGGGAGGAAGGGAGUAAAGUUAAUACCUUUGCUAAUUGACGUUACCCGCAGAAGAAGCACCGGCUAACUACGUG